ACGUAGGGUGCGAGCGUUAAUCGGAAUUACUGGGCGUAAAGCGUGCGCAGGCGGUUCGUUGUGUCGGCGGUGAAAGCCCACGGCUCAACCGUGGAGGGUCAUUGGAAACUGGGGGACUUGAGUGCAGAAGAGGAAAGUGGAAUUCCACGUGUAGCGGUGAAAUGCGUAGAGAUGUGGAGGAACACCAGUGGCGAAGGCGACUUUCUGGUCUGUAACUGACGCUGAGGCGCGAAAGCGUGGGGAGCGAACAGGA
rnacentral:rRNA from 1 species